rnacentral:lncRNA from 10 species
UUUUGACUCCUUAAUAACAGACAUUCUGACUGGUGUGAGAUGACGCCUAAAUACCUGACGUGUGACAGCAAAUGCCUGUUCCCAUGGAGCUGCUGCUUCUGAGAAAGCUUGAAACAGACAAAGAAUAAGGUAGAAAUGACCUCCUCACUAGAGAUGAAAAGAAGCUGUCCUGGUGAGGAAAUUGGAUCCCAGCUUUUGCCGCUAAGAUUCUUCUCUUCUGCCUCUGGUUUUCUUUAUUGUUCACCCCCAGAAGCAAUCGCUCUCUCACAAGGCAACACACGCAAUAGAGUGAACAGUGAUUCUACAGUCUGAUUCUGGAAAAGGCGACCACAGUGGAAAGAGUGAUCCACACAAGUAUAGGGCCUCCUGAUUAAAACACUAAGAUUUCAUCUCACGCUGUGCCUUUAUACUGUUGAGAUACUAAAGAGGACACUAAAGAUCAAAGUGCUACUUUACAACAUUUUGAAGAAAACAACUGCUACCUGUGUAUUAGUUUGUGCAGAUGUGUUACACAGCUUAGCUGUGUCUGUACCAGUUUAUUAGAAUCAAAGUAUUUUUAAAGUACCUAAGGCCAGGCACAGUGGCUCACACCUGUAAUCCCAGCACUUUGGGAGGCUGAGGCAAGUGGAUCACUUGAGAUCAGGAAUUCAAGACCAGCCUGGCCAACAUGGUGAAACCCCAUCUCUACUAAAAAUACAAAAAUUAGCCAGGCAUGGUGUCACAUGCCUGUAAUCCCAGUGACUCAAGAGGCUGAGGUAUGAGAAUCAAUCGUUUGAACUCAGAAGGAGAGGUUGCAGUGAGUGGAGAUAGCAACACUGUACUCCAGCCUGGGUGACAGAGUGAGAUCCAGUCUCAAAAAAAAAAAAAAAAAAAAAAAAAGUACCUAAAACUUGUGAUAUGGUUUGGCCUUGUCCCCACCCAAAUCUCAUAUUGAAUUGAAUUAUGGGGAGAGGUCUUUCCUGCGCUGUUCUUAUGAUAGUGAAUGAGUUUCAUGAGAUCUGAUGGUUUUAAAAAUGGGAGUUUCCCUGCACAAGCUCUCUUUUGUUGCCUGCUGCCAUCCACGUAAGAUGUGACUUGCUCCUCUUUACCUUCCACCAUGAUUUUGAGGCCUCCCCAGUCCUGUGGAACUGUAAGUUCAAUAAACCUCUUUCUUUUGUAAAUUGUCCAGUCUCGGGUAUGUCUUUAUCAGCAGCAUGAAAACAGAGUAAUACAGCAUGUGAGAUACAAUGCUGAGCACUGAAGAAACAAGGAUGGCACAGCCCCUGACUUCCAGAAGCUCACACUUUAGAAAAGCAAGUGUAUUAAUAACUACUUAUGUAUAACAUUUGUGUUAUUUAGAAAAUGCAAUAAGGGCACAGAUGAAGAGCAAAGUACAGUGGUAAAGAAGAGAGAGUUUGUGAGAAAGGUACAGGAGAAAAGACAUUUAUGCUGGGCUUCAAAGGAUGAGCUGACAUUUCAAUUCCCAUCCUUAGACAAAGCUAGGAAAGGCAUUUCAGCAGAAGCAAACUGAAUAAAGCCCUCGAGACCUGGAAGUGCAUGUCAUGCCCAAGAACCAUGUAAACCUGAAAGCUUUGAGAGCUAGAUAAUAUUUCACCAACUGUGGUCAUCAGAAUCACCAAUAUUUGGGGUGUUUGUUUAAUUUUUUAGCUUCCUAAACCCUAGCACAAGCCCAAUGAAGGUGGGAAGAGGAAUCUGUAUUUUAGAAGCAACCCUUUCCCCUCCAAAUUCUUCAUAGAGUGAUUGUGAUGAAUAAAGGUUGAGGACCAUCUGGUUUAGGCUGUUCUAGGCAGGGUGGAGAUGUAGGGAAGGACACACAAUAACCCUGUUACUCGGUUGUGCUGUGGUUAUGUGCCUAUACACUAUCAGACAGACUGGUCAAUUUUGUUCCAAAUAUGUUCAGUGUUAAACAGAACCCAGUAUUGUAAACUGUAAUUACAAAUUAUAAAACUUCUGUAAACAGAAGCCUACUUCUCAUACACUGAAAGAACCAAAAGGCAAGAUGCAACUGAGACCGUUUAAAAAUGGUGAAAUGUUUUCCAGACUCCAGCUACAAGGAGAAUCCUCUUUGUAAUGCUGAGUAUCAUGAUUAAAAUCUCCCACUGCUCAGCAGCACAAAACUGUCUCAAGGAGUCUCCAAAGAGAGUCAUCUCAGAGUAUCUCACAGCAGUCCUUCCAUCCUCAAGCUUGGUUGUAUCUCUACACAGGCCUACAUGAAAGCAGAGACACUGCAAACAAGACAGGGCAGAGAGCAAGCCGGGAAGUUGGUGAACUUGGAAUUUGAUGAGCUCCUUGUCUGAAACAUGAAGCUCAGACCAGAAGAACUGGAUGCUCUAGAGAGAGAUGGACCUCUCCUCAAUGGGAAUAUCAACAUCAGUACAAAUUGAUGAUUCCAGUUAAGAAACAGACAACAGUAGUCAGAGCAGCACAUAAAGCCAGAAGGAGGCAAAAUAUUGGUAGCCACUCAGAGCUAUGCGCUUUCCCAACCUGUCCUCAGAGUGAACUGUUGCUAAUUUCAGAGCCAAGUAGUAGUCCUACUACCAACCAUCCCAAUAAUUUCACAUACCAACAUCCACAAUUAAGUUACUGGUUUAUAAACCAUAAACCACAAUUUAUCUAGGGUGUUGACUUAAUGUUUUUCAGCAAAGUUUUUUCCCUAUCUAAGGUAACAUUUCUCAUAUAAUGGUCAAGGGACCCCUACCUUGAGAUUGUUAAAAUGAAGAGACUUGGGUACCUUUCACAACUCUCUGAGGUUAGGGCCCAGGAAUCUGCAUUUUCACACACUCCCUCAGAGCAUUCUCUCUCACAAGGACUUUCCCUUCAGGGAACUCCUGUUACACUCAGUACUGAAUAGUGUAAGAGUAUUUUUGUUUUCCAUUAGAAUUUUGCUAGUGGAACUUUGAUUGGCAAUAGGAAGUGGCUGGAAUAACAUAGGGAUUUUGGUCUGCAUUGCUAUCUAACUGCCUGGGUUCCCUGUGACAUGUCUCUCAGGUGUCAGGUAUCUCUAGCUCUCAGGUAUCUCUAGCUCAGCAACUUUCCCACCCUCAUCAACCUUCCCAUCCUCAAUCCACCCAACCCCACUCUCCCACAUUAAAAUCAAAGAACUUCUACUGUAAAGUCCCUGGUUAAACAAUCAUCUUCAGGUACUGUCAAAGUAAGAUAACUAAACCAGGCUCCCUCGUUGGUACCAAUCAGAUUGGGUAGGAACUGGUAUGGACAUCAAACAGAAUUGGCACAUAACCAGGUACAGUUGCAUGCAGGCCAGCAUGAAAGUAUCAGAAUAUUUGGUUAAUUGAAUUAAAAGAACCAUUGAGUUAUUCUGACAUUGUGAAAACAUAGUCAAAAUUCAGCUCUUUACAAUGCUUUUGCAUCAUUGGAGUUGAGUGCAUCAGGGAGACUGAUAAAUCAUACAUGGCUCAUAAAGACUAAGAGCAAAUCAUAAAAUAAUAGAGCUGGAAGGGAACUGAAAGAUGACCCGGUCUGGGUUUUAUUUUGCAAAUGAAACAACCAGAGCCUGCAGAGGCCUAGUGACCAAGGUCAUACAGCUCGUUAGUGGCUGAGAAUCACAAUGUCCUAACUUCUGGCUGAGGGUUUUUUUCUAUGAUGCCUCCCCUGAGACUAAAAUAAAUCCC